UGGAAAGUUACCGCGCCUGCAGCAGCGUUUUGAGUGUGUUGGUGUUGAGUCCCGCGUGCGCCUGUGUCUCCGGGACAGGGACUCGGUCACUUUUGUGGAAAGGCCUACGUGUGCAAGGAGCAAAUACUACAGAAAUUUCCUGGAACCUUGUGGGACAUGCCCAGGAGGGUCUAUGCAGGGAUGUUCUCAGCAUAAACACUCAAUUUUUUGGAUUGAAUCUACCCAGGGGAUUAGACACCAGUUCUUAGUAGAGAAGAGAUCACCUUGACCUUGUAAGUUUCAACAUCUUCAAGUUACAUAAUGAAGGGAAUUACAACACACACUUUUCAUAAACAAGUGUUACCAGGAUGCUAUAAAAUAGACUUUUUUUAAUCAAUGAAGAUUCAAAUAAAUUAAUAAAGAUUGAUUAAUUUAUUUGAAAG
rnacentral:lncRNA from 1 species